CACAACUAAAACAACUUAAAUAAACAUUUUAGAGGUUGAAAGCCAUGUCAGAUACUUGCCUUAUUAAUAUAAAACAUAGUUUAUCCAAGAGUUGCAAUUCUAUUUGAAUUGACUUAAUUGAGCUUAUCUAUUUAUAUAUGGACUUGUCAAACUGUUUGGUAGCUAGAGUUUAUAGAAACAUCUCAUGAUAUGUUUAUAAGUUGUUCUCAACUUAUUUCUAUAAACUCUCUAGGAUAGCAUAUGAAAAUCAAUUAUAUAGAAACAAUUUGACUUUAUUUUAUAUUUUCUUAUAGAAGUAUAUAUCUAACACAUAAGUAAUUUUAUAAUCUCCUCCACUUAAGUUGUUUAUUGAAAUUUGUAUGGCUAGUGUUGAAUCUUAAGGGGUAGGUAUCCAUGGCGAAUACUUGCUUCCCAUAUUUUCUCAAUAGCAAACAUAAUGUCACCACACUCAUGAACAUUCCAUCUUUCUAAGGCAUGAAUUAUUCCAGCAAUGCGCCAAGCACUCAUUACUCUUCUUGGAAGCCAAUUCUGCACCAUAAUUAGAGAAACUCAUUGAUUAGUUUAGCUUUGUUCAAAGAAAAACAUUGAUUUGUUUCCUAACGGUUUAAAUUGAUGGAUCAUCCCAUGCCCAUAAAUAAUUGAGAUUCUUUGGCCCUAUCCAAUUAGCCUAGAUAAAAAAAUUGGUCUGGGUCGGACUAGCCUAUUGAGCUUUGCGAUGGUCAUUAUAAUUAAACAUCUCCAUGUAUGUUUUAGAAAUAAAAUAAUAGUCAAAUCUUUAAAAAUUAUUGAUAAGAAUAUAUUUAUUGAGGAGAGAUCAAAUUAGUAAUGUUACAUCGUGGAAUAACGUUUUAAGAAAUAUAAAAUUUAAAAAAUUUACUGUUGAAUGGAAUGUUUUUAUAUAUAUAUUACAGAUCAUCCAAGCAAACUUUUACACAAAUCUAAAUUAAACAUUUGAUAUGUUAUAUAUAUUGUUGCAAAUAAAGAUGAAUGGUGUUCAAAAAAAGCGUACAAGACUUUAAUUUCAUUUUAUUUUAUGAGAAGACUUAAUUUUUGUAUUAUAUCAAUAACAUGUUAAGUAACUUUAAAUUUUUGUUAAAUUUUAUAUAAAUAAUCUAUAUAAUAUAUACUUUAAUUCCAACAGUGAAUUUUGUAAAUUAUAUAUUUAAAAAAAGUUGAUAAAAAAAAUUAUUUGUUAAUUUUAUUACCUAAAACUAAUUUUAAAAAAUUGAUAAUAAAUAUUUUAAAAUUUUGAUGUUUAUAAAUUAUUUAUUUUGUUCGAUUGAAGUAAAAAUCUUGAGUUUAAAUUUUUUUUAAUGGCAAAUAUACAAUAUAUAAAUAUAAAAACGAAAUAAGUACAAGAGAAAAUUCAGAAAAAUAAAGAAGUACCAGAAAUACAUUCUAUCAAAACCUAACGAUCUCUAUGGUAAGAUAAAAAAGGCAAAUAAAAUUACAAACAAUUGAUAUUUAAUGUUAAUGUUAAGAAUGCUUUAUACUUUGUAUAGAAUCAUAUCUUUUCAAAUAGAUAAUUGUGAGAAUAUAAUAUUUUUCAAAUUACCAACCUCACAUGAGUGCAUGUUUAUGAGUGCAGGAGGAGUGAUCAUUGCUGGUGUAUAAUGGUAGAAGCAAUCUUUUCGCAUUUUCUUUGGAGGAAAAUGAGAAAAAGGUAUGAACAAUGAUCCUUCUGAUGCUUGCAUUUGCUCAUCUUCAUCCCAUUCAUCUCCAACUAACCAUAUCUGUUAGACUCAUAAUGUUACAUAUAUGAAAUAAUAAGUUGCUAAUUGAAUCAUGCAUGAUUUGAAACUACAUUUUGUUUUUUUGUUUCAUAAUUAAAUAUCAAUUAUAAGUUAUUUAUUGAAACUUGUGGCUAUAACUUAAACACACUAGUAUUUCAUAUACAACUUUUGAAAUUAUGAAUUCAUAGCUAUAGUAUAAUGUAACUUCUUUUAAGAUUUUUAUUUUAUUUUUAAGUAGUAUAGGAAGCAUGAUCAUAUACAAUUUACUUUAAAUUUUGUUCAUUCAAAUUGUCAAAUGUUGAUAAAAAGUUAUUGAAAUUAGUUAACUUUUUUUUUUUGACAAAUGAAAUUAGUUAACUUAAGAUUCUAUAGUAAUGAAUGCUUUAAAACAAUAAAUUAACCUUUCGAGUAUUGAUUGAUGAUAGAGCCAAGCAUGCAUUGGUCAUGGUCACCCUUUGUUCAAGUUCUUUCAACUCAUCCAUGUAUAAUACAGUCACCUGAUUGCAAUUUACUCUCCAUUAGAAUAAAAUUAAAUUUGAACAAAUAAGUUACGAAAAACAUUUUGGGUUAAUCGGAAUUUUGAAAAUGUAUCUAAAACAUAACAUGAAUUUUAAUGCUAGUAAUUUAUAAUUACAGCAGUGCUAUUUGGUACGAACAUCGCUUUAACAAAAGACAAGAAUCUGUGCAUCUCACGUGCAUUAAUUCAUGACAUGAUUAUAUUUUUUUUUUCAGCAUGUGACAUGAGUUUUCUAAAAUAUUAAAAUAGAUUCCAAGAAUUUGUGCAUCUCAUGUUUCGGUUGUCGCCAAUUCGUAAUAUUAGGCAUUAUUCUUAUAAUUAUAUAUUUAUUAAAGAACAUAAACCUAUGCUUUGAAGUUGUAUUAUGAGAUGGUUAUGUGAUUUCUAGAUAUAGCUUCUUGUUGCUUCUUAUAUAUAUAUCAAAAUUUGGUUUGGGUGGGUGGAAGGGUGGAAAUGGAUCCUAGUGUAGGCAUUGUAAAAAAAAAUCUCUAUUAGCUUUUAUUGCCUCACGUGGCUUCAUUGGAUUCUCCAAAAUCCAAUAUGUGCUAAGAGAAUAUUUUCUCCGUCCCAAAUUAUAAGGGAAAAAAUCUUCUUUUUUUGUCCCAAAUUAUAAGGGAAAUAUCAUUUUCAACAAUGUUUUUUUCUUUAAUUCUAUAAAAUUAAAUGUAAAUUACAUUUAAUUUUCUCUCUCUCCUCUUUUCUCAAUAAACAACGACGACUAAGAAUUGCUUUUACAUCUUCUCAUACAACUUAUUGCAAGAAAAACUCACAAAAAUAUAUUUCAAAUUAUCAUGUUUUACUUUUUCUUAAUAAGUGUGAUUUUUGUUUUUUUCCUUAUAAUUAGGGACGGAUGAAGUAUAUUAAUAUGAGAUGUGAUCGAAUUGAGGUGUUGAAGCAUAUCCGAUUUCAGUAGUUUCUAGAACUCCCUCAAGAGAAAUACUUAGUCCCUUGGGAAUGUUGUUUAGCACUUCAUAAUAUAAGAAAAAUAGAAACAUGUAUAUGCUCACAUACCUGCACAUUUUUACUGCAUAAAGCAUUAAUAAUGGCCAAAGCAAUCUUAUUAAACUUUCCUCGAAGAAGCACUUCAUUGGUUCCUUUGGGAAUGCUGUUCAGAAUAGUAGCAACAACUAAGCUACUGCCAUCCACAACUUUAAUGUUCAUGUUUGGGUGCCUUUGAAUAUAAAGUGCACAGUGUGUACUAAGCUCUUGUCUCUGCGCAAUCAUGAAAGAUUAUUUUAUUAUUUUUAAUUAACAGCAAAAUAUAUUAUUAUUAAUAGCCAAUUUCUGUACAAGACGAACAGAUGAUGGAAGAAACGGAACUACAAAAACAAAGACGCCGCAAUCAUGAAGGAUUAUAUUCCAAUCUGAAUCUUAAACAAUAUUGUGUGUAUAUAUUGUAAAUUACUUUCUAAAAUCUACAUAGAUUAUUUCACUUUUAUGAACAUUUUGAUAUACUUUUAAAAGAUCAUAACCAUAAUACUUCAUCCGUUCCACAAUGAGUGAGUCAAUUAAAAUAUGAUAGGAAUAUAAGUGAUAGGGAGCUCGAGACAAAAUAAGAAAAUUAAUAUUUUUUUAUAAAAAAUAGAAAGGGGUGAAUGAAUUUACCUGGUUUAAAAGACCUAAACUUAUCACCUUUACUCCGCUUAAAUCGGCCUUCAUUAUUGUCUCCUCAAUCAUUUUUUUUACUGUUAUGUUAUGCUUUUUUGAGAAAUACUACAAAGUAGGAAAUCAAACAUGUGAUGUUAUAUAUCCUUUAUAGGUAUAGAAAAUGAAAAAUCUAAAGUUCCAAAUUGACGUGAGAAAAAGAAAUUCAUACUUGUGUUUUAAAUCUUGGUAAAAUCCAACAUUGCACCUUGAGAUCUUUGAAGGAGUUAUUUUCUAAAACAAAGGCUUGUCCACUAAACCAAGUCAUAAGCAUAGAGAACAUUGUAAAAGGCCACAUUAAAUUUAGGUACCAUUUAGAUGUUUGUGGGUUGGAGGCUAAGGAAGCAAAACCUAAGCGUAGUUGAAAGAUGGAAUUAAAUGUUGUUAAAUGAGUUAAAUGCACUGCAUCUGGUGAUUUCUCUUGUCUAUUCAAACAAGCUUCAUAUGUAGCAUCUGAAGAUGUAUCAACCGUCCCAUAAAUGUAGUCAUAUAUAGGCAUGAAGAGUGAGUAAUUGGUCCUAAAUUUUGUAUGAUGCAACGAGUGAAACCUGUAAAAUAUAUCAAACAUUGAAUGAAAUACUAAUGAACUUAAUAAGAAAAUAUUACAAAGAGUCUCAUGAUCUUAGCUCAGUUUGAUAGGUACAUUUCCAUUAUAUAUGUAGAGGGCCGGGGUUCGAACCCCGGUCAUUCCACUUAUUCACCUCAAGGGUGGAAUUUCUAGCCACUAAACUACUUGACAAAAAAAAUUACAAAAAAAUUAUGCUUUAAUAAAAAAAUGUUAAAUAUUAAGAUUUUUCUAAUAAAUGAUAAGCUCUUAUUAAAAGUGAAAAAUCACAAAUAAUAUGUAUUGAUUUUGUUGCAAGAAUAUUAUAAAAUUUAAAUCACUGUUUUCUAAAAUUUAAAUCAUAGCAUAAGUUUUUGGUAUAUUCAGAGCUAGACUAACAUAAUAUGAGGCCUACGACGAAUAUUAAAAUGAGGCCUAAAAACAUACAAUUUUUUUGGUAAAUAAAAUGCAGAAAGAAUAACCAAAUGUGACAAAUAAUAUGUAUUAAUAUAGAAUUUUUUGGUAAGGUUAAAAAUUAAUUAAUAAAUAUUUAUUAAAAUUAAAAUUUAUUAAAUAUAAUAAAUAAAAACACUACUAUAAUAUGAACGAACAAGACAAACAUUAUUUGAAGUAAAAGGUGAUAGCCAUGGUUUCUUCCAUUUCUUGACUUACCCUUUGUUAGAAAUAUAAGAAUUCAAGCAAGAGAAAUUCUAUUAUAGGCACAACCCCAAAUCAAUAAUAUUUGGGCACACACACAUCAAAGAAAAAAAUUUAAAGAUAAAUGAUUAAGUCACAUCAAUUAUUAUCAAUCAAUUAUUUUAUCUUUAAAUUUUUUAAAAUCAUGUAUGUGUGUCUAACACAUCAUAUUUGGGGUUGUGCCCAACCAAGUCUUUCUCAGCAAGAGAAAUUUAAAGAUAAAUGAUUAAGUCACAUCAAUUAUUAUCAAUCAAUUAUUUUAUCUUUAAAUUUUUUAAAAUCAUGUAUUUGUGUCUAACACAUCAUAUUUGGGGUUGUGCCCAACCAAGUCUUUCUCUUCAAGCAAAUGCAUGCGGAAGAAUUAAAAAAGUACACUAUCAUACUAUAUUUUUUUUUUUGAAUGGCAAAUAUAUAAUAUAUAAAUAAAGAAAUGAAAACAGUACAAGAAAAAAUUCAGGAAAAUAAAGAGGUACCAAAAGUACACUCCAUCGGAACAUAACAAUAUCUCUAAGGUAAAAUACGAAAAUAAAAGGUAAAUAAAAUAAGUAUUAUGAUUACAGAUUUGAGGAACUUACGAUGGUGUGUAGGAGAGAUACUUCAAUUGGGGAAAGUAGGAGAGGAGUUUCUUAGGAAAGAACUCAAAAUUGCAAUGGCCCAUGUUGUUCAUAAAAUCAAUGUAAAAGAUAUAACCAAAAGAUGCAGCCACGGAUGAUUUUUUUACGACCAAUGUUGUCAACAAUGGGAUAAGAAAAAGCGUAAAAUAUGCCAACAUCUCAGCAAAUGGGUGAAUCACAGCUGUCAUCAACAACAUCAACAACAAAAAGUUACUUCUUCCAUGUAAUACAUUUAACCAUUUUAGGAGGAUUAAGAGAAAUAUAUAACUGAAAUAGAAAGAAUAAUAUUUUCUUUUGAAAAGAGAAAGAAUAUUUUUUUAUGACAGAUUGAAAAGAGAAAGAAUAAUAAUUUUAUUAAAGGUUAAAUUGUACUUUUAGUAAUUAAUUGUAAGUUGGUAUUGUGGUGAUUGAUCCUAGAUUUAGGGUCCGUUUGGCCAGAUUUUUUUACCGUCUAAAAGCUACUUUUAGAAUAAUGUAAAAAGUAGGAGCUUUAUAAAUAAAGUUAAAAUCAUUUGGUAAUUUUAUUUUUUUUGCAUCUUAAAGCUAAUUUUAAGUUAAAAGUUGUUUGAUAAAAUAUUUUAAUAAAACUUUGAUUUUAUUUGGAAGGAUUAAAUAAGUUAAGUUGACAUAAAUAUAUCAAUUUUUUUUAGUCUCUUUGAAAAAAUUCAGCAAAUUUUGGUUCCAAAAUACCUUCUGUCAUGAGAGAAAACAUUUUUGUGGGAGAGAUUCUUAUACUCUUUAAAAAAUAAGAAGGCUACACAUAAAUUACACCUUACAAUAGAUACUAUGAUAAAAAAAAAAAAAUUCUCUAUUAAAUAAUAAUCUCGUAAAAACAAUACAAACAAUAAAUUUAUUACUACAAACAAUUUUCUUAAUUUAUGUGAAUUAGUUAACAAAGUCCUAUAUUUAACAAACUUCUAUAUUUGGAAUGGAAUAUUAAGGUAUGUCAUUCCUACUCGUGAGGCAAAUGCUUGCGCAGAUACUCUUACUAAUAUGGGUUGUGAGCACGGUUCAGGGCUUUGGUUGUAUAUGAUCAAUGUUCUCCUAGAUUAAGCUCGUUGGUACUGGCUGAUGUAAUGAACAUUAUUGUCGUUUAGUUCUUCUUUCUCUUGGGUUUAGGCCCAUAUUGUAACAAAAAAAAAUGGAGGUAGUAUUUUUUUAUUUGUAUCUUGAAAAAUACUAUAGAGUAUCGUGAUAAAAAAUUAAAAAAUAAAACAUAAGUAGUCUAAAAUUAUUAUAAAGUGAUGAAAAAAAAAACAAAAAGAAGAAGAUAAAUGUAGAAAAUGGCUUAGCAGUGUGAGGUGUGAGCAGUAAGAGAAGAAAGGCAAAAGAAAAAAUGUGAACGAGUCACGAAUAACAUUAUAACGAAUACGAAUUUUACAAAAUUCAUCGUUGGAUUAAAAGUUUCGUGAAGUAGUUUCAAAGUAGCUAUCAACUCCUUUUGUUAAACUCCUUCUAUUCAGUUUUUUACAUAUCAAAAUAAGUUCUUUUUUCCAUUAAGUAUUUAAUUUAUAUUGUGUUUGGCCUACCUUCUACUUAAAAAUAUAAAAAAGUAGAGAAAAAAAAGGCCAAACGGUAUCUUAGUAGAGAUGACUACAGUUCAAUUCCCACAACUGUAAUUGGAAUGGGUUGAAACUAUUCGAUAUCAAAACUGACUUCGGAAUCAGAUUAGACAAUCUAAUAAACUGGAUUGUAGUAAAACAAAAUAAAUAAAAAACUUCUUUUGGUCAUUUAACGUCAAAAUAAGUUAAGGAUUACAAGAGCAAUUUAUCCUAUCAAGUAUUUGCAUAUAUAUAUAUAUAUAUAUAUAUAUAUAUAUAUAUAUAUAUAUAUAUAUAUAUAUNNNNAUGAUUUUAUAUUUUUAUAGAAUUGAACAUGAAUGAUCUAUAUGAUAUAAACUUUCAAUCCAACGGUGGAUUUUGUAAAAUUUGUAUUCGUUGAAGCGUUAUUGAGCGGUGUAACAUUACUCAAUUGUUACACCGGUGUAAUUUUUUAUGGAAAUAUAUGAAGUCAACACAUUGAAAAUUGAAAUAUUUCACUUUUUGAAUAAAUCUUUUUUUUAAAUAUAAUGCUUAAAGAGUACCUAGAGACAUUCGUUCGAAAGACUGAUUAAUUAAAUAAAGGAGAAUGUUAACUUGUGCCCUUAAGGCACAUGUUAAGGAAGCAAAAAUAGAAAUUAUUAAAUGCUAAUUUGUGCAUUUUGACUUUUGAAGCAUUAAAUUUCUUGUACAAUUAAAUGUUGAAUUUCUAUUUUGGUAUAUCUUAACAUAUGCCCUAAGGGCACAUGUUAACAAGACCCUUAAAUAAAUAUAAGGUUUGACAAAAUUUUAUAGAGAAAAAAAAAAUCAAAAUCUAUAUGAUAAUACCAGUGAUAGGCUCUGUGACAAUUGAAGAAUGAUGAUGAGAAUGAUAUCGAGAAUAUAGAUAAUGAUGAUGAAGUGCUCUAUGUAGCCAAUAGUAUAAGAACUCCACUGGUCCAGCAUGCAAAAUAGUUGUAAGAACCACACCAUCUGUUCUCCACCAUGGUAAGUUUGCAGCCAUAGGUAAUAUUGUGUAUAGUAUAUAAAGUACUAGUGCAGUGAGCAAUAUUUGAUCAUCCCUGCAAAUGUGACACACUCAAGGUCUUAACAAUAAGAUCCAAUUUUUAAAAUAAAUUAAUAUUUAAAUUUUAUCAAUUAAUUGGAUCGGAUUCAUCUUAAGUGAACAACUCAUAUUUUAUAGAGUCAUGUGAGUAAUAUUUGUAAAUGAUAAAUAAAUUAAUACUUGAUAUUAUAUGUAUAUCUGUAAAAUUCAUAGAUAUAUUAAAAAUAUCGAUUAUUGAUUUUUUUUGUACUUUAACAAUUGCUCGAUCACUUAGAUGAGUAAAAUUCCAAUUAAUCAUCGAUUUAUAUUUCCUUCAGUCAUGAUCAUAAAAAAUGAUUAUUUUUUAGAUUCACCGUAAAAUUAAUGUGUUUGGACAAAAUUAUAGUCUAAAUACAUCAAAUUUAUAAUGAAUUUAAAAAAAUAAAUAUUUUCAUAUAUAAUAUAAGGACCAAAGAGAAUAACAAAGACAAAUUUUAUGAACCAGUUGCUUUCUCUGUCGACUUGUUCGAAUUCGAGGCCUUUGUCAACAAUUCUGUUUUUGCCUCUAGCAGUUUGGUAGCGUGAGAUUGAAAUCCAAAUCUGAUUGUGUAGCAUUCUCACGAAUAUGAAUGGGAAUAUGAGAAAGUAUGUUGGAUCCCGUUCAACCCAUAUGAAAGUGUAUAAGCUAUGAGCAAUCCAUGGGCUCAGAAUCACGUACUUAAUAUAUAGAAGACAAAGACAGAAAAUAAUAUGUUAGUUAUAGAAACGAUUAAAAAAAUAUAUUUAACAAAACUAUUGAGGAAAUAUGAAAUAAAAUAUAGGGUAUCAUUUGAAGGAGGAUAAUAUUUGUAUGCUAGUUGUAACCAAAAAUAUAUUUGUAUGCUAGUUUGUCAAAAAAAAGUAAAAUGAUACUGCAGGAAAACAACAACUAUAUAUGUAUUGAAAAACAACAACUAUAACACCUAUGAUACUGCAGGAAAAUACUAGUAGAGAAUAAGAUAAAUACAAUAUCAUUUUUAGAGAUAAAAAGAGGGAGAGAGAUUAUUGUAAAUGAUAAUAAAUUAAAAGAACCUUGAAGCUUCCGAGAGGUUUCCAAGGCCAGUUUGUAAGGAUGCCCGGUUUAGAAGCCAUAUCUUAUUGUUAUGAGAUUGUAGCAUUUGGAAGCUAUAUAUAUAGUGCUUCACUUGGCAAAUUCUUCAUCUAUAGGUGCGUUUGAUCUGCUAAAAAAAGAAAGUGGACAAUUUUUGUUGUACUCUGUUUGAUUUGAAACUGGUUAUAAGGCUGAACAAAUUAGCCAAUUAGGUAGCAAGGAACAAGACAAACACAAUUUUUUUUGUCCCUCACUGAACUACAAAGACAAUUUUUUGUCCACAGUACAACUAUAAAAAAUACAAAAAUACUCAUUUUAGUUUCAAAUAUAAAAAUAUUAUCGUUAUAUCUCUCUUCUAUACAGUUUUAUCCUACCCUAUAUUAUCUUGUUUUGUUCUAUAUUAUUCUAUUCAAUGUUUGCUAUUUUACUAACAAAACACCCAAUAACUUAUAAGUGGUUGCUAUGAUUGACAUUCAUAAAUAUGGGCUGCUAAGAGGUGGGGUUUUAGCCUCAUCAAUAACACAGCAUAUUUCCAUAAUUUUUUUAUCAAUCACACAGUAUAUUUCAUUCAUUUUUGAAUGAUUUUUGACUUUUUAGUAUCCCUAAAGAAUUUUUUUUGUUUCACAUUGAUCUCUCAAAAAGAUAAAUUUUAAAAUUUUGGUUUCACAUUGAUCUUUAAUAAUUAAAUUUUUUGGUUUCACAUUGAUCUCUCAUAAAGAUAAAUUAAUUAUUAACUUUAAUUUUUAGAAAAAAUUGAUUUUAUAAACGAGAGAACUAAAAGUUAAUUUUUUUAUUUGAUUUUCAGUACUAGUAUUCAGCCUACUGGACUACCUAAUAUGACUGGUUUUCAGCCCAUUGAAUUUACUUACCGCCUAAUUUGGUUUUCAGACCCCUUCUAACGUUUAUGUGACAUUUUUUGUUUAUCUAGUCAACCAAAAUUUAACAGUAGAGACCAACAUUGAAAACAUAAAAAACGUGGGGAACUAAAAAUAUAAUAUAAAAAUAUAGGGGCUAUUUUUAGAAGUCCGCCAAAUUAUAAGCACUAAAAACAUAUUUAAUUUUUUUUUCAAACAUCAACCUAAAAUAAUAAGAGGCGUGUCCAACCAUUUUGGAGAUAACAUGUGCCUUAAAGGCACAUGUUAACAAGAUCAUUUUCUGCCAGUGUUAUCAUAAACAUCUUGGAAGCUCCCUCGACAAAUUUUGUUCACCAAAUAUAAGACCUUGAAAACAUAUCAAAUAUGUACAAAUGUUUAAUUAUUAUUAUUAUAAUAUAUACAUCUACAAGUUAAAUCUUUUAAAUUUUAUGUUUAUAACAUAUAGGUAGGAUGAUUGAUGGUUGUGAUGUAAAAAUUGAGGAAAAUUGAGGAAAAAAAAAUUGAGAGGAUCCAUUCUCAGGUAGGACCUAAAUGUUAUAAAUUUAUAAACUUAAAAGAUUUAUUUAUUACUUAAAAUUAAAAAAUUUAAAGGAAUUAUAUAUUACAAAUGUAAUACUUAAAUGAUCUAUUUGCUAUUUAAAAACUAUUCACCACAAGUACCUUGGAAGUGAUUAUUGGCUUUCCAUUUUGAUUUAUGCAAGGGUUAUUUUUGAAAUAAUUAUGGCUAAUAUUGCCUAAAUCAAUAUAUUUGAGAGGAUUUCUUAAUGAUGAAGAAACAUGGUAGAUGAAAUUCUUAGGAGGUUUAUGUGAAUGAAUAAAAAUGGCUGUAAUCACACAUUUGAUGACCAUGUCUGCAGGUAUCUGCAUAUUAUCAUUUCAAUGUAAUGUUAAACAACACAUAAAAAUGUAUGUGUUAAUUAAUAAAUAAGUAUGAAUUGGAAAAAGAAAAAAAAAACUGCAUUUAAAGUAAUUCUACUAAAAGGUAGGUAAACUAAUUUUUUAUAUGCAAUAAUAUAAACUGUAUCUUUAAUUGUCAAUUUGUUUACACUUUUUAGGGUAUAUUUUGUUCUUAAAAAAAUUGUGAAGGGAGAAAUAGGUAAAACCGUAAAAGAGUACAAGAAGAAAGAAAGAGAUGAGAAGUAGAGUAGAUUAAAUUUUGAAGGUAUUGUUUGUUAUAAAAGAAAUAUAAGAAAAAUAGAAGAGAGGGCAAUGUUGAUUAAAUAUGAAAGUACCAAAAUAUCUUUGACAUUGAAAACACCUUCCUAUGAAUAAUAUUUUACUAUUUAUUUGUUAAUUUUAAUUCAGAUAAUUAAAUAAAUUAUUAAAUAAAGUAAACGUAUUAUUUAACUUUUUAUUAAAUAUUUAAUUAAAUAAAAAAGUUAAAUAAAAAUCAAGGCAAUUUUUUUAUAGCGUAACAAAUUUAAAAUGCAAGGCAGUUUAAAAGAUUUAGGUAAGUGUAUCACUUUUUAUUAAACUUAUAUAUUUGACUAUAUUUUUAUUAAUAGUUUUUUAAUUAGAUGAAAAUAUUAUAUGUUUAUUUUGAUAUUAUAUUUUAAAAAAUAACAUAAUUUCAUUGACAGCAGGCCAAACCAAAGCCCAAUGGGCUAGCAUGGUCUAGCCCAAUUUCCAUGUGACCUAAAAGGGUUAAGGCCAAAAAAGGAUCGAUUGUAUUUGGGCUGCCGUUUUUUAGGCCUGACCCAUCAAAAAUAAAUGUAAUUUUCAAAAAAUAGUCUCAGCCACAAUUUUAGUCCUUGCAGUUUUUCAGCAUUAAUUUUAGUCCCUUCUAGUAUCAUUAUGAAAAAAAAAUGUAAUUUCGGCAUAAAUAAGGCCCAAGACCGAUUUGAGCAGGCCGCGGCGACGGUGCAGCCCUUGAGGCACAUACCAAGAAGCCACCUUCCAUAUAUAAAUUCCUACUAGGGCACGUGUUCUCUUUAAUGUAGGACUUAAAUGAGCCUUUCCAAUUCACACUACACACUUAAUUAAUUCAAUACUUAUAUUUAUUUCUUUAUCAAGUUUUUCUCCAAAGUACCAACUCAUUCCAACAUAUAUAACGCUUUAAUUUUUAACAAUUCUUUCAAAACCAUAUGGUAAAAAAGAAAAUCCAAAUACUACACUUACCGCAAGACACCCAAAUUUCUCUUGAGCCAAUGCUCAAAAUCAACAGAAAGCUCCUGAAAAGUCUCAAAACACCAGUCAAUUGGAGGCAAUUUUGAAGACCUUCAUGCAAGACACUCAGAAGUUUGUUGGAGAGGUGAAGAGUCAGAUCUUAUCUCAAGCAGUUAGUAUCAAAAAUCUGGAGAACCAGGUUGGGCAAAUAGCUACUACACUUAGCUCGAGACCAAGUGGAACUUUGCCUAGUACAACUGAAACCCCUACAUCCACUUCCAAUGAUAAAGGGAACGAAACUUGCAAAGUUAUCUAUGGCUUAAGAAGUGGAAGGGGGUAUGAAAGACCUAGUGUGGGAGAUAUUAUCACUCAAGCUGUUCAAGAAGAUAUUGCUGAGCCUACAACAGAAGACAACUCUGCUACUCAGCCAAAGCAGACAUUAUCUCCAGACACAACCAAGAAGAAAGGUCCUGAAUAUGAGCAGAAGUCUACUGUCGAUAAGAAUGUUGUUGACACUGAAGCUGCAUCUAGCAGCCCAGUUCUGACCAGAGAAAGGCCACAUCCACCAUUCAAGAGGAGGAAGAUUGGUGAAUUUCAAUCAGUUGCACUCACUCAAGAAUGUAGUCAAAUGGUUCAAGGAAAGAUCCCACCAAAGUUGAAAGAUCCUGGGACUUUUACUAUUCCUUGUACUAUUGGUGAUGUUCAUGUGGGGCAAGCCUUAUGUGAUCUUGAAGCAAGCAUCAACCUUAUGCCAUUAUCUGUUUUCAAAAAGCUAGGCAUUGGUGUUGCAAGGCCAACAACAGUCACACUUCAAUUAGCUGACAGAAGUAUUUGUUAUCCUCAAGGAAAGAUUGAAGAUGUGCUAGUGAUCGAGGGUUGAUAAAUUUAUCUUCCUUGCUGAUUUUAUCAUCAUGGAUUUUACUGCUAAUAUUUCAUAUCUUAUUCACAUGAACACAAUAAAAAGAAUUAUUAAAUAAAAAAUUCCUUUGUCAACUAUGAAGUCCUUCACAAAAAUUAAUGUAAAAUUAAAUAUUAUAUAUUUUAUGUUAUAGACUUGUGAGAUAUUAUGAGAGAUAUUUUGAAGUUUCACCCCCAAUUUAAUUGAAGUUUCAACUUGUUCUUGCAGCUCCUGUGAGAGAUAUUUUGGAGAUACCAAUUUAAUUUGAAGUUUGUUCUUGCAUCCGGCGACAAAAGAGAAACUAAGAUCUUACCAUUUUCAUUAAAGUCUAAAUGUUUUUCGGUAUUAAUUAUAUUUUUUUUUAGAGGUGCAUUUUCAUAUAUGAAAUUUUUUUGGGCAUAAUUUAUAAAUACGAUCAAUGUGACAAAUUCAUAAAUAGAUAAAGUAUUAUUAUUAUUAUUAUUAUUAUUAUUAUUAUUAUUAUUAUUAUUAUUAUUAUUAUUAUUAUAUCUAGUGUUAACCUGAAAUACGGGGUAAAAGAUACUCUUUCACCGUGGAAGACCUACUCCGCUCUUCCACCCUAGCCUGCGCCAUUAAUUAAUUCUGGUUUUUCUCUCACCUCCUUCGUCAUUCACCGCUACCCAAACAACAACACCCCCUUCUCUCUUCUUUCAUUUUCAUCCUUCUCUGUCAAAUUUUUAGCUGGUUUGUACGAUCUCUUUCCUUGUUUUUCUCUUAAUUGAAUUUUAUCCUUUUACCAAAACAAAUCCCACAAUGUUGUUCCUCUUACCUCUAUUCAUUGCCCCCCCUCCCUCACCCUUUUAUUUUGUUCCAUUGAUCCUUUGUCAUUGUUGUUCCUCUGUUUCAAUAAAGUUCAAAAUCACAUUUAAUUUCAUUCAAAUUUCAGCAUGCAAAGUAUUAAGAUAGCAAUAGCAUUAAGUAACUAAUUGCAUAAAGGUUAUGUUAUUGAUGAGAAAUGAGUGAUGAGUGAUUGUGCCAAUUCAUGGAAGUGGAUUUACUUGGCAAAUUUUUCCAUUGAAUUUGUUCUUAGUGUUCUUUGAGUCAUGUAGUUUUAUGCUCUGUUUCAAUCACAACAAACAAACAAUGGAGUUUUUUCCCUCUGUUAUCACGCCUUCACUCACAUAUGAAAAAAUAGAAAUUUUUUCCUUCUGAUUUUAAUACUAAAAAAGGUGGGUCUACUCUAUAAACGCAAAAAAACAAAAAAAAUCAGAAAUAGGUCCCACCACUUCUUGGAAUUUCGCGAAACCAGUUUUCGCUGUAAAUAGCAGUUAUCUUCUCAAUUAAAUCAUACUUCCUUCAUACCACAUUAUAUGUCACUUUGGAGAAGAAAUUUGUACCACAAUAUAUGCCACUUUACAUUACCAACGACAUAUAUUGUGAUAAGGAGAGAGUAAUAAGAAUGGUACAUCUUCCGUUACUUUUAGAAUGAUUUAAGAAUCAUUCAUAAUUCUAACAUGUUUUGCUAUCUAACAAGUUUUUUUAAGUGUGAUUAAGCACAUGGAUGAAUAUAUACCUCAAGAAAAAAUUGGAGAUUUUGAUUACAUAAGAUCAGAAGUACAAUGAUCAUAAUCAUGAAAUCAGAAGCAAUUGAUUAGAAUUAUAUUAUUAUUAAGGUCGGUUAGACCAAAUAAAGAAAGAGUGAAGGAUUUGGGAGGGUGGCAUUUACAAUGCACAAAUUUAACAAUUUGUGCAUGGAUGCACAACUUUAUAAAUUUGAUUCUGACUGUUAGAUUUAAUAAGGAACACAGUUUUAUUGUAGUUUAUCAACACUAGAUUGUUUCUCACACCCAAAUCAAUCUAACCCCAUCCUCUCUCUUUCCUCAUCUCAUUUCCCAUAAAAUCUGUAUCCUCACCCACUCCUCCUCUAUGCACUGUGCUUUUCUUUUCUUUCUCUUGUUUCCAGAAGAAAUUGAUUAGAAUGGAUUUAAACAACCAUUUAAAUUCAUGGAGAGAUAUUUGAGAAGCAGUUCUGGAUCUAGAAGUUAGAACUUGCAAUGGCAGGAUAUUGAAAUAUUGAAACACCUCUUCCAAAAAAAACAUUAGUUCUUCAAAAUAUGGACAGAUCUGAAAACAAUUUGAUGGAGAAGAGAGAAAGAGAUAUCAUAAUUCUUUAUUAAAGAUACCUAUAAUUUUAUUGAGUUUAAUUAAUAUGCACUGACGGUGUAAAAUAGUUUUACACCAUCGUCCAAUAAAUAACAAUCAUUUUGCCAUGUCAUGUCAAGAAAGUGAGGUGAAGUUGGGUGAUGUGGCGGAAAACAUGGUUGGUAUUGNNNNNNNNNNNNNNNNNAAUUAAAUCCAAUUUUAUUUAUCUACCAUUUUUCAAUCUUUGCAUAUUUUGACAUAAAUCAACAAAGAUACCUAUAAUUUUACUUAUCUACCCUUUUUCAAUGAGUUAAGAUCAGAAGAAGAUAAUGGUGGGUUAAUAUUAUUUAUUUAAGUUUUUUUUUUUNNNNNNNNNNNNNNNNNNNNNNNNNNNNUGUUUAAUGUGUGAGGAGCAUGAUAAGUUAUAAUGGAACUGUCAAAUCCAGCCGUUAACUUAAAGUUGUGCAUGGUGCACAAAUUUAAGAUUUGUGCAUGCUAAAUGCCACCAUUUGGGAGGUUAUCCCAAGCACUAUAGUGAAACUCUCACAAUUGUGAGGAAUAAAGUAGUCCACAUUGAAUGAAUCAUCAAUAUGAAUCUUGUGUCUUAUAUUCUAUCAUUCUCUUUACUUCACAUCUAUAGAUAUCCAUACACACGGGUACAGAUCCUCUCCCGUGAGGAUUUUCACUUGAGAGUGUCCAGUGUGAAUCCUCACCAUUCAAUGUGUUUUUUUAUUACAUCAUCAACUGAAAAAAAAAUAAUGUGUGGUCCAAAUUUCACUGUAGAAACAUUUCAUGGGAGAGGAUCCCUACCCGCAUACACACACAUAUACCAUACACUCCCGAUACUACACAAUCAUAUCUAACAAGAUUGAUUCAAUUUUUAUUUUUUUUUAACUUUAGAAACAUUUUUUAAAAAUGUCAUAAUUCAAGCCCAAUAUUACCCCCACCUUUUAGAUAAACAUUUGACACAAGGGUAAUGUUGUCAUUUCAACUUUAAAACAUCUUAUACAAGAGUUGCAAUCCUAUUUGGAUUGUCUAUUAUANNNNNNNNNNNNNNNNNNNNNUCUAUAAUAGCAUAUGAAAAUAAAUUAUAUAAAAACAAUUUGACCUUAUUUUAUAUUUUCUAAUGUAUAUAAUCUGCACUUUAUUUGUUUAUUGAAACUUGUGUGGAAUCUUGAGGGGUAGAUAUCCAUGGCGAAUACUUGCUUCCCAUAUUUUCUCAAUAUCAAACAUAAUGUCACCACACUCAUGAACAUUCCAUCUUUCUAAGGCAUGAAUU
rnacentral:lncRNA from 1 species